CCUACGGGGUGCUGCAGUGGGGAAUAUUGGACAAUGGGCGAAAGCCUGAUCCAGCCAUGCCGCGUGUGUGAAGAAGGCCUUCGGGUUGUAAAGCACUUUCAGUGGGGAAGAAAGCCUUGGGGCUAAUACCCUCGAGGAAGGACAUCACCCACAGAAGAAGCACCGGCUAACUCCGUGCCAGCAGCCGCGGUAAUACGGAGGGUGCGAGCGUUAAUCGGAAUUACUGGGCGUAAAGCGCGCGUAGGCGGUCUGAUAAGCCGGUUGUGAAAGCCCCGGGCUCAACCUGGGAACGGCAUCCGGAACUGUCAGGAUAGAGUGCAGGAGAGGAAGGUAGAAUUCCCGGUGUAGAGGUGAAAUGCGUAGAGAUCGGGAGGAAUACCAGUGGCGAAGGCGGCCUUCUGGACUGACACUGACGCUGAGGUGCGAAAGCGUGGGUAGCAAACAGGAUUAGAUACCCUUGUAGUC
rnacentral:rRNA from 1 species